CAGCCGCCGCGGUAAUACGUAGGUGGCAAGCGUUGUCCGGAAUUAUUGGGCGUAAAGGGCUCGCAGGCGGUUUCUUAAGUCUGAUGUGAAAGCCCCCGGCUCAACCGGGGAGGGUCAUUGGAAACUGGGAAACUUGAGUGCAGAAGAGGAGAGUGGAAUUCCACGUGUAGCGGUGGAAUGCGUAGAGAUGUGGAGGAACACCAGUGGCGAAGGCGACUCUCUGGUCUGUAACUGACGCUGAGGAGCGAAAGCGUGGGGAGCGAACAGGAUUAGAUACCCGGGUAGUCCCUGUCUCUUAUAC
rnacentral:rRNA from 1 species